rnacentral:rRNA from 1 species
UACGAAGGAUCCAAGCGUUAUCCGGAUUUAUUGGGUUUAAAGGGUGCGUAGGCGGGCUAUUAAGUCAGUGGUGAAAAGCCCCAAGCUUAACUUGGGAAUUGCCAUUGAUACUGAUGGUCUUGAGUACACUUGAAGUGGGCGGAAUGUGUCAUGUAGCGGGUGAAAUGCUUAGAUAUGACACAGAACACCGAUUGCGAAGGCAGCU